CCGAGUUUUGGGGGGCUCUGCCCUCCUCUCUCACACCCUAUGUGUACCUACCUCUGUUGCUUUGGCGGGCCGCGGUCCCAUCCGCGGCCGGCCCCCUAACCGGGGCUGGCCAGCGCCCGCCAGAGGACCACCAAACUCCAGUCAGUAAACGUAGCUGUCUGAUCAAAUUUUUAAUAAACUA
rnacentral:misc_RNA from 2 species